AAAGGGACUACUAUUGUGUUUCAGAGUGUGUUUUAGAUGACUAUCGGUUUGUGUCUGAAAUUGAUGGCUAUCUCAGGCUGCAUCGCGUCCCGGUUAACUGGCAAGAUGCCCGUUUGAUAUGUUAUUUAGAAGGUGGUGUACUGGCCUCACCAAUAGACGUAAACAUAAUAACUGCCAUGAAA